rnacentral:lncRNA from 1 species
CGACGCUCCUGGGGGACACAGGCACGCUGCUUUCCCUCCCAAGCCAGUGGGCCCCCACCCGACUCCCCACUCUGCAGCUUCCCAGAGGCCUUCCCAGCAAAGGCAGCCCACCUUGCUAAUGGAGUUGUAGUAGGGGUGCUUCUCGUCCAUCGGGGGCGGCGGGAUGUCGAAGGAGCGCCUCCAGAUCUUCACCUGCUCCUCCCCGUGCUUGGCGGCCGUUUCUGCCUUGUUGAGGCCUGUGAGGCCCCCGUAAUGCCGCUCAUUGAGGCGCCAAGUGCGCACCACAGGCAGCCACAUCUGGUCCGUGCCGUCCAGGAUGGCCCAGAGGGUGCGGAUGGCCCGCUUCAGCACUGACGUGUAGCAGAUGUCAAACUCCAUCUUGGCAUCCUUGAUGGCCUUGGCUCCCCGCUUGGCCUCCUCGGUCCCCUUUUCACUCAGCUCUGCAUCGAACCAGCCACAGAAACGGUUCUCCUGGUUCCAUGUGCUCUCGCCGUGCCGGACCAUCACGAGGCGGCUAGGAGGCGGCCCUCAGCAGGCAGAGGAGGAGAGCCAGAGGAGCUGGUGCAGACCACAGCUUUGUGGAGAGGAGUCUGGCCUUGUGGAAGGU